rnacentral:rRNA from 1 species
GUUGUUGAGGAAGAUAAUGACGGUACUCAACAAGGAAGUGACGGCUAACUACGUGCCAGCAGCCGCGGUAAAACGUAGGUCACAAGCGUUGUCCGGAAUUACUGGGUGUAAAGGGAGCGCAGGCGGGAAGACAAGUUGGAAGUGAAAUCUAUGGGCUCAACCCAUAAACUGCUUUCAAAACUGUUUUUCUUGAGUAGUGCAGAGGUAGGCGGAAUUCCCGGUGUAGCGGUGGAAUGCGUAGAUAUCGGGAGGAACACCAGUGGCGAAGGCGGCCUACUGGGCACCAACUGACGCUGAGGCUCGAAAGUGUGGGUAGCAAACAGGAUUAGAUACCCUGGUAGUCCACACCGUAAACGAUGAUAAGGGGGUGUUGGAGGAUUGACCCCUUCAGUGCCGC